CAUGUCUAAGUUUAAGCAACUAUACCGUGAAACUGCGAAUGGCUCAUUAAAUCAGUUAUCGUUUAUUUGAUAGUACCUUACUACUUGGAUAACCGUGGUAAUUCUAGAGCUAAUACAUGCUGAAAACCUCGACUCCGGAAGGGGUGUAUUUAUUAGAUAAAAAGCCAAUGCCCUUCGGGGCUUUCUGGUGAUUCAUAAUAACUNAACGAAUCGCAUGGCCUUGCGCCGGCGAUGGUUCAUUCAAAUUUCUGCCCUAUCAACUUUCGAUUGUUGGGUAGUGGCCAACAAUGGUGUUUACGGGUAACGGGGAAUUAGGGUUCUAUUCCGGAGAGGGAGCCUGAGAAACGGCUACCACAUCCAAGGAAGGCAGCAGGCGCGCAAAUUAUCCAAUUCCGACACGGAGAGAUAGUGACAAUAAAUAUUAAUCCAGGGAUCUUUAGGUUCUUGGAAUUGAAAUGAGUACAAUUUAAAUCCCUUAACGAGGAACAAUUGGAGGGCAAGUCUGGUGCCAGCAGCCGCGGUAAUUCCAGCUCCAAUAGCGUAUAUUAAAUUUGUUGCAGUUAAAAAGCUCGUCGUUGAAACUUGGAUCUGGUCGGUCGGUCCGCCUCACCGCGUGCACUGAUUCGACCGGAUCUUUCCUUCUGGGGAACGCAUGCCCUUUAUUGGGCGUGUCGGGGAACCAGGACUUUUACUUUGAAAAAAUUAGAGUGUUCAAAGCAGGCCUAUGCUCGAAUACAUUAGCAUGGAAUAAUAGAAUAGGACGUGUGGUUCUAUUUUGUUGGUUUCUAGGACCGCCGUAAUGAUUAAUAGGGAUAGUCGGGGGCAUCAGUAUUCCGUUGUCAGAAGUGAAAUUCUUGGAUUUACGGAAGACUAACUACUGCGAAAGCAUUUGCCAAGGAUGUUUUCAUUAAUCAGUGAACGAAAGUUAGGGGAUCGAAGACGAUCAGAUACCGUCGUAGUCUUAACCAUAAACUAUGCCGACUAAGGAUCGGGCGGUGUUAUUAUUUUGACCCGCUCGGCACCUUACGAAAAAUCAAAGUUUUUGGGUUCUGGGGGGAGUAUUGUCCCCAAGGCUAAACUUAAAGAAAUUGACGGAAAGGCACACCAGGUUUGNGGNGGGGGNGCAUGGCCGUUUNUUAAGUUGGGGGAGNGAUUNUUUUGCUUAAUUGGGAUAAGGAACGAGACCUUAACCUGGUAAAUAGCCAGGUAGUUUUGGGCUGUUCGCCGGCUUUUUAAGAGGGACAAUCGGNUCAAGCCGAUGGAAGUUUGAGGCAAUAACAGGUUCUGUGAUGCCCUUAGAUGUUUUGGGCCGCACGCGCGCUACACUGACCGAACCAACGAGUACAUUCCUUGGCCGAAAGGUCUGGGUAAUCUUGUUAAAUUCGGUCGUGCUGGGGAUAGAGCAUUGCAAUUAUUGCUUUUCAACGAGGAAUGCCUAGUAAGCGCAAGUCAUCAGCUUGCGUUGAUUACGUCCCUGCCCUUUGUACACACCGCCCGUCGCUACUACCGAUUGAAUGGCUCAGUGAGGCCUUCGGACUGGCUCAGAGAGGUCGGCAACGACCACUCAGAGCCGGAAAGUUCGUCAAACUUGUCAUUUAGAGAAG
rnacentral:rRNA from 1 species